ACCUACGCCCAAAUUUUCGUCGUACCUUCGUCGCUCCACCUCUCCCGAAUGCGCCGACAAGUGGGCCAGUCCCCACAAUUCUCUCUCCCGACGAGAUUUCCUCCACCCUCUCCCUCUCUCGUCGGCUAGGGUUUCGUCCUCCGCCGCCGCUCCCUUGCCGCGCCGCGCCAUCGUUGACCUCAAAAUGGGAUCCCCGCGCCACGCCAUGGAGGCCCCAUCACCUCAAGGCCGAGCUCAGCAUUUUCGUGGCCGACUCUGCACUUCUCCGCCGCCGCUCUGCGCCCUCUCUCUCGUGCUCGUCGCGAGCCGCCGCCGCUUUUCCCUCCCUCUAUCCCUGCCCGCCACCUCUCCCCUCUCACUCUAUGCCCCUGCAGAUCAUUGUCUUGUCUCGUCGCCCGUCUUCAUCGUCGACAGCGUCGCCACAAAGGAGGAGGGGGUCGGGAGGAGGAAAAGAGGGGUAGCUGCCGACGAUACGUUGUUCAGUUCCUCCCACAAAUGCAGGAGAAGCAGGGGCAGUGCUCUCCGUCCGCCGCUGUGACAGAUCUCGGGUGAGCCUCGAGUUCGACUUCCGGCGACACCCGCCCCAAAGUAUCUUCCCCGAUAAGAUCUGUACGUACCUACCGUGAUACAUUCUUAUCCACAACGCCAUAUCCUUCUGCCAUUUUUGGGGGGAUUGAUUGCCUCCGAGGGCCAACAGGAGGAGUUCUUCACAUAGCACCAGCCUCUUCUUCAUUGAUCGAUGCUAGGGGUGGGGUGUAGCAGAAUAUUUGUUGCAACCAAAGUCCAGAGAAGGAGGAUGGACAUGCUCGUUACAGAAGUGCCAACAGUAGAUGCGCCUGCACUAUAGCAAAUAGGGCAACUGCUCUAAUCUUCCUAGGUAUCUGCAUCUCUACGAUUUUCUUAUCCAAAUCUGACUGCUUAAGAAUUCAUCAAUAAUACAGAGUUCUGCUUAGGGCCCGAUGCUCACUUUUUUCUCUACACUUUUCAAAAAUUUAUGUAGCAUAUACCAAGGUAAAGGUUUCGUUUGCACUAUAGAAAUGCUAUUGUUUGCUGCUUCAGAUACAACAAAUUCUAGAACAGUUCUUAGUAGAUAUAUCAGAGUCUGGAAUGAUUUUGUUUAGUGGUAUAAUGUGGCGUUCUAAUUUGUCAUGUGUCAUUGAACUUAGUUGCACCAUUUCCAUUUCGGUGCGGCUUAUACAACAUGUGUACUAAGAGAUGGCACCUUUUUGUCCUUAUUUUGUCUUUGUGUUUGCUAAACCAGCUAUGAUUUGGUUUCUUACGUCAAAUGAACAUGUUCGCUUUUCAUUUACAAGUCAUUGGAACUAUCAAGGUCUAAUCUGAACUGGUGAGAAAGAAAGUAGUAACUGCUUAUAAAAUGUGGUUUUUAUUGUUGGUUUGGAAUCCUAUUCUUAUGAAAAGUGUUUAGUUGGUCAGGUUUAAUAGUAUUGCUGCUGGAGUGGUUUUGUUUCUUUGGAUUUCAGCAUCUACUGACAUUGGUAAGUACUUUUUAGGUAAUCCUCUGGAUUUCCGGUGCCAUGUUUUUGUGUACUAGGUGCAUUUCUUUGCUUGGUUAUAGUGGUGUCUCAAACUUUCUGCUUAAAUAUAGUAUUUCUUUUCUUGAUGCCUUCACUGGUUGUGAAUUUGUGAGCUUCCCUCAAUAGGGUGGAUAAUGAAUUAAUACUUGUGACCUUGUGAUGUAGUGCUCAACAAGAUGUUUAGAUACAAUAGACUAGCAGAGUAUAUAAUAUAUACAUCAAUGUAUGGCUAAGUCUGACCAAGGUUAUUGUGACAUCUGAAUCCCGUGCCCUUCAUAGGUGGUUGUUAUCGGUGGAAAAUAGGAUGACCUUUAUUCUUUUGGUAUACUGGAAGUAAUAGGUAAAGUUAUUCUUGGCCCAUUUCAGUCUGAGCUUAUCCCACGUGCCUUUCAGUAUGGUAAAGAAGAGACAAAAUUAGUUCUUAUAUACCUUGGAAGGCUCUCCUCAAUUACUAUUGGGUAAUAGCUUAUAAAAUUCAUCCUAGGUGCAUCACCCAAUAAAUUCGCAGUGAAUUUCAACCUUGCUUGUACAAAAAAUUAUGUUAUUAUACUUGUAAUGACAUUAUUUCAGCAUUGGGAAAUGAUAUCUGGACUUUUGUCAUACUUGCAGCUUGAUUAGGGUCACUGUUACAAGUGCAUUUGGUGGCUGGGGAAAUGAGCAGAAAUCUUGUUAGCGUGAAAAAUGGCCACCUCAGAUUCAGAGAUGUCUGUCAAGUUAGCUCUCUCUCUCGUCGUCGGCCCGUUGGAGGAGAAUGGGAUGGGGAACCACGUUGGGAUGCAGAGAAGCAGGAGCUGGCGGAGGCGCUUGUUGAACAGGAGGGUGGCCACGAACACCCAUGGCAGCCUGCUUUGCGCAGCCAGAAGGAGUUGCCGAUGAGGACCAAUGUGCCUCUCAAAAUCGAAGUUGGUUUAAAUUAUUGGCUUCAUUACAAAAUCUAUGGCGAUAGCAGUUGUGUCACCACACACCACUUGUAGCUGAUUUUCUCUCCCUCAAGAACGGCAUCAACAGUGUGCCUGCCUGAUACCACAAAAGGUGUGAAAGAGCGCCAGCACCAUCUGCCUACUCUAUGCUACCAAAGUGGAGAUUACGAGAGGUUGACUAUAGAACAGAGUAAAGUAAUAUGACUGUACACCUAUUAACUCAUGAUUGUCGUUUUUUGCUUAGCAAUAUCUUACACUAAUGGAUUUCUGGACAUAUGGAUCAUGCAUUCAUUUUUUUAUGUUGGCCGGUGAAACAAUUUGUCCAGCGUAGGUCAUAGUCACUUUGGUUGAGCCUGUUAUGUUUCCCACAUGUAAUAUUUACAUGGAUGCUUUUUAGUUUUCCUUUAAUAUUGUACCAAUAUGAAGUACAAUUUAUGUUUGACAUAUAUGCUUUUACAUGAUAGCCUCUA